rnacentral:rRNA from 1 species
AACGAACGCUGGCGGCAGGCCUAACACAUGCACGUCGAGCGCCCCGCAAGGGGAGCGGCGGACGGGUGAGUAACGCGUGGGAACGUGCCCUUUGCUACGGAAUAGCCCCGGGACACUAGGAGUAAUAUCGUAUAAGCCCUACGGGGUAAAGAUUUAUCGGCAAAGGAACGGGCCGCGUUGGAUUAGGUAGUUGGUGGGGUAAUGGCCUACCAAGCCGACGAUCCAUAGCUGGUUUGAGAGGAUGAUCAGCCACACUGGGACUGAGACACGGCCCAGACUCCUACGGGAGGCAGCAGUGGGGAAUCUUAGACAAUGGGCGCAAGCCUGAUCUAGCCAUGCCGCGUGAGCGAUGAAGGCCUUAGGGUUGUAAAGCUCUUUCGUGGGGGAAGAUAAUGACUGUACCCCAAGAAGAAGCCCCGGCUAACUCCGUGCCAGCCGCCGCCGUAAUAC